rnacentral:tRNA from 1 species
UCCCUGGUGGUCCAGUGACUAAGACUCUGUGCUCCCAGUACAGAAGGCCCAGGUUCGAUUCCUGGUCAGGAAA